ACUAAUGAAAUUUUAACAUAUAUUUGAAACUGAGGCAAGCUGACAGAGUAUAAAACAAAAUGCUAGAAUUUUACAUAGGAAAAAUACAGAAAAUUGUCAUUUUAAGUAAUGUAAGCACCAUGAAGAAAACAAUUGCCACAUUAUGUAUUUGAGAACCAAGUUAUUUUUCUAAGAAAAAGGUGAUCCUCUGGUUAAAACGAAUGACACAAGAAAAAGAUUGGUAACAGUUUCUGCUUACUAGAGUCAUGAACAGUAACAAAAUAAAAGUAACAACUCCUACUGCCAAACUGUUUUCAAACACUGGUGACAGAUACAACAGAGAGUGAAAUUUCCUCUGUGACACAGGAUAUAAUUUUUGCUAGGACCAUGAUACAGAACUGGAGAGACAAAAGACUGAUUAGAGAAGACCCAGAACACAUCUAUGCUGGACACCCUAACCAAGUGAAAAUUCCCCAGUGACUGCUGAGUAAAUUAAAGCCAAAGCUACAGCACUGCUGGAAACCUCAGGCUCUGGCUUAGGUCAUGCUCAGACAAGCAGCCACACAGAGGCCAGGACCAAGAAUUCUUAUCCAGAGCAAUUAGGCAAGAUCUGUGUCUAUUUACAAGGGCUUAAUGAACCUGAAGAACUGCUGGCCUCCAGUGGAAAGCUCUGCAGCUGUUCCUGAAAGUUGCCCUUGGCCAGCUGCUUGUCCGGGUGCCAGUACUAAGCCAUGCUCUUCUCUCAGACAUGGGCAGCUGCCACAACGGGGCCUCCUGGCACAGGCACAGCUGGACGCUGCAAUGGUCUUGGUCUGCAAGACACUGGAGCAGAUCAGCAAAGAAUAUGGAAAGGUCGCUGCUGUGGGUCAUGGUUUCACAUCACAGUCAUUAUGGAGGGUCUGUCACUAAGGAUCCUUCAGGUAAGGUGAAAGAUUUGGUCAAAAUUAGUCUGAUUUCCUUCUGAAAGUCAAAAGACCUCAGAACACUUGAGAGCAGCACAUGGGAGUUUAAAUAUAAAGUGAGUUGCAGCUCUCAUGAAGUAAACAACAGGUGCAAGGUGGAAUUUUUUAAACUUCCCUGGCUAUUCUGAAGGUUUGUGUGCUUGUAUCCAUACCUGAAGACAUUUAUUUGCUAAGGAAGAAGCUUGAGAAUUUCUCCUGGUUUUCCUUAGCUCACAAGUUGAAGCUGUGAUAGGUGGCAGAUACAGGGUUUUGUUUCCCAUCCAGACAACAAAGCAAAUGAACAUUGUCAUUACAAAAAGGACCCUAGUCCUUACAAACAAUGUUGAUUACUGAAAGUAGUUCUAAGUUAUUACUUUUUUCAGUCUCAUUGAUCCUGAAUACAUAUGCACAAAGAGAAGAGCUCCUGACAUGGCUCUCACAGGUACAAUUGUGUCCAGAACGUUUCCUCUGUGGGCAGCUCUUCAUCACCAGCACCUUCCAGUGCCAGUGCCCAAAGGAGUGGUUUUUUUAUUAAUCAAAGUCAGGUUCAACUUCUUCAAAAAGAUGAACAGAUCCCUAAGAUUAAGGGAAGUUUUCAAACAUAUCCAAAGAACAACAAUUCUUCCCCAACAGCACUUUUGAUUAAUAAGAUGAAACAAGUCUGUUUUACAGGUUUACAAAAGAUAACAGCUUAAGAAAUGUCCUAUUUAUUUGUCUCUUCCAAACAGAAGGAGAAUGUAGAUUUAAAGUUUUGCAAGAUUAGGGUUUACAAUGAGAACAGCAAGUGAAACAUAGAACUCCUCCAAUAUGCUUGUGAAAUUUGCCACAAAGGCUUAAGGACAAAGCCCUGACAGACCAUGACUCAAGGAAUGCCACCACCAUUAUUUGUAUUGCAGAAAGCCAAUGAUUUUUCAUGGCAGAGCAGUUUAGUAGAGCUGGACUAGAAAGUGAGCUGAAAUACAUUCACCAGCUAACACAGGACUAACACAAAAUUAUUUCAACCCUCUUAAGAAUCACUUGAGUACCAGCCAUCAGGAAGACAAAGGUUUAUCUUUAAAUAUUUUACCCUACCUAGCAGUAUCACCUCUGAGUUCUUCAAAGGAAAUCCACACAUUUCUUAUGUUGAUGGAAUGGCCUUUAUUUCCUUCCUAGCUGACAGGGCUAUUGCAUCUGUACCGUGAAUUCCAGGAAAAAACCAAAGCUAUACACUGAGGAAAAACAAGGCAGUAAAUUUGGAUUAUUUUCUAAUCUAAUGAUAUGAGCAAAUACUGAGAGAAUGAGAAGCAGAAAAAAAGAAACUUAUUUACAUAUUCAUUGAGUAAUUUGUAUAAUCAGAAGAUUUAAAAGGUCAUUACCGGA
rnacentral:lncRNA from 1 species